rnacentral:rRNA from 1 species
ACGAACGCUGGCGGCGUGCUUAACACAUGCAAGUCGAACGGAAAGGCCUGCUUUCCCUUGUGGAUAGCGGGUACUCGAGUGGCGAACGGGUGAGUAACACGUGAGUGAUCUGCCCCCAACUUGGGUAUAAGCCUGGGAAACUGGGUCUAAUUCCCGAUAGGACUGCAGGGUGGUGCCUGUGGUGGAAAACGAUUUUCUAGUGGUUGGGGAUGAGCUCGCGGCCUAUCAGCUUGUUGGUGGGGUAAUGGCCUACCAAGGCGGCGACGGGUAGCCGGCCUGAGAGGGUGGACGGCCACAUUGGGACUGAGAUACGGCCCAGACUCCUACGGGAGGCAGCAGUGGGGAAUAUUGCACAAUGGGCGGAAGCCUGAUGCAGCGACGCCGCGUGGGGGAUGACGGCCUUCGGGUUGUAAACUCCUUUCGACCGCGAGGAAGCCACCUGGUUGGAAGGGUGGUGACGGUAGUGGUAGAAGAAGCACCGGCUAACUACGUG